rnacentral:rRNA from 1 species
GACGAACGCUGGCGGCGUGCUUAACACAUGCAAGUCGAGCGGAGCGGCGAACGGGUGAGUAACGCGUGAGUAACUGCCCCCCUCUCUGGGAUCACAGUUGGAAACGGCUGCUAAUACCGGACAGUGGGGGAUGACUCGCGUCCGAUCAGCUUGUCGGUGGGGUAGUGGCCUAACAAGGCGUCGACGAGUAGCCGGCCUGAGAGGGCGAGCGUCUACACAGGGCUGGGAUACGGUCCGAUGUUCUACGGGAGGCAUCAGGUGGGAAUAUUGCACAAUGGGUGAAACCCUGAUGCAGCAACGCGGGUGCGAUAUGGCGGCCUUCGGGUUGUAUACCGCUUGCGGCCAUGACGCAAUAGUGGCAGAAGAAGCGCCGGCUAAGUACGUGCCAGCAGCCGCGGUAAUAC